GACGAACGCUGGCGGCGUGCCUAAUACAUGCAAGUAGAACGCACAGUUUAUACCGUAGCUUGCUACACCAUAGACUGUGAGUUGCGAACGGGUGAGUAACGCGUAGGUAACCUGCCUGGUAGCGGGGGAUAACUAUUGGAAACGAUAGCUAAUACCGCAUAAUAUUGAUUAUUGCAUGAUAAUUGAUUGAAAGAUGCUAUUGCAUCACUACCAGAUGGACCUGCGUUGUAUUAGCUAGUAGGUGAGGUAACGGCUCACCUAGGCGACGAUACAUAGCCGACCUGAGAGGGUGAUCGGCCACACUGGGACUGAGACACGGCCCAGACUCCUACGGGAGGCAGCAGUAGGGAAUCUUCGGCAAUGGACGAAAGUCCGACCGAGCAACGCCGCGUGAGUGAAGAAGGUUUUCGGAUCGUAAAGCUCUGUUGUAAGAGAAGAACGGGUGUGAGAGUGGAAAGUUCACACUGUGACGGUAUCUUACCAGAAAGGGACGGCUAACUACGUG
rnacentral:rRNA from 1 species